rnacentral:rRNA from 1 species
GACGAACGCUGGCGGCGUGCCUAAUACAUGCAAGUCGAACGCAGUGGGGACGGGUGAGUAACACGUGGGUAACCUCCCAUCAGAGGGGAUAACACUUGGAAACAGGUGCUAAACCGAUACUGAUGGAUGGACCCUCGGUGCAUUAGAUAGUUGGUGAGGUAACGGCUCACCAAGGCCACGAGGCAUAGCCGACCUGAGAUGGUGAUAGGCCACACUGGGACUGAGCCACGGCCCAGACUCCUACGGGAGGCAGCAGUAGGGAAGCUUCGGCAAUGGACGAAAGUCUGACCGAGAAACGCCGCGUGAGUGAAGAAGGUUUUCGGAGCGGAAAACUAUGUUGUUAGAGAAGCGGUAUAUACGCAAAAAGCGACGACAAACUACGUGCCAGCAGCCGCGGUAAUAC